ncrna:unclassified sequences S4-Flavobacteria ribosomal protein leader
GAUUUAGAAGGAUAAGUAUAAGACCUUAAUUCUAUAAUC